rnacentral:rRNA from 1 species
GAUCCUGGCUCAGGAUGAACGCUAGCGGCAGGCCUAACACAUGCAAGUCGAGGGGGAUAUGGUGCUUGCACCAUAGAGACCGGCGCACGGGUGCGUAACGCGUAUGCAAUCUACCUUGUACAGGGGAAUAGCCCAGGGAAACUUGGAUUAAUGCCCCAUAGUAUUAUUUUGUAGCAUUACAUUAUAAUUAAAGAUUUAUCGGUACAAGAUGAGCAUGCGUCCCAUUAGUUAGUUGGUGAGGUAACGGCUUACCAAGACAACGAUGGGUAGGGGCCCUGAGAGGGGGAUCCCCCACACUGGUACUGAGACACGGACCAGACUCCUACGGGAGGCAGCAGUGAGGAAUAUUGGACAAUGGGCGGAAGCCUGAUCCAGCCAUGCCGCGUGCAGGAAGACUGCCCUAUGGGUUGUAAACUGCUUUUGUACGGGAAGAAACACCCCCACGUGUGGGGGCUUGACGGUACCGUAAGAAUAAGCAUCGGCUAACUCCGUGCCAGCAGCCGCGGUAAUACGGAGGAUGCAAGCGUUAUCCGGAAUCAUUGGGUUUAAAGGGUCCGCAGGCGGUCAAUUAAGUCAGAGGUGAAAUCCCACAGCUCAACUGUGGAACUGCCUUUGAUACUGGUUGUCUUGAGGUAUAGUGAAGUAGAUAGAAUAUGUAGUGUAGCGGUGAAAUGCUUAGAGAUUACAUAGAAUACCGAUUGCGAAGGCAGUCUACUAAACACUAUAUUGACGCUGAGGGACGAAAGCGUUGGGGAGCGAACAGGAUUAGAUACCCUAGUAGUCCACGCCGUAAACGAUGGAUACUAGCUGUUCGGUAGCAAUACUGAGUGGCUAAGCGAAAGUGAUAAGUAUCCCACCUGGGGAGUACGUUCGCAAGAAUGAAACUCAAAGGAAUUGACGGGGGCCCGCACAAGCGGUGGAGCAUGUGGUUUAAUUCGAUGAUACGCGAGGAACCUUACCAGGGCUUAAAUGUAGCUUGACAGGGGUAGAAAUACCUCCUCCUUCGGGCAAGUUACAAGGUGACGCAUGGUUGUCGUCAGCUCGUGCCGUGAGGUGUCAGGUUAAGUCCUAUAACGAGCGCAACCCCUGUCGUUAGUUGCCAGCAUGUCAUGAUGGGGACUCUAACGAGACUGCCGGUGCAAACCGUGAGGAAGGUGGGGAUGACGUCAAAUCAUCACGGCCCUUACGUCCUGGGCCACACACGUGCUACAAUGGUCGGUACAGAGGGCAGCCACACCGCGAGGUGGAGCGAAUCCUUAAAACCGAUCUCAGUUCGGAUCGGAGUCUGCAACUCGACUCCGUGAAGCUGGAAUCGCUAGUAAUCGGAUAUCAGCCAUGAUCCAACUCU